rnacentral:rRNA from 1 species
AGCGAACGUUAGCGGCGGGCCUAACACAUGCAAGUCGAGCGAGAAAGGGGCUUCGGCCCUGAGUAAAGCGGCGGACGGGUGAGUAACACGUAGGUAAUCUUCCUUCGAGCGGGGGACAACGGUCCGAAAGGACCGCUAAUACCGCGUACGUUCCCGAGGACCCUGGGCCUGGGGAGGAAAGCUAGGUCGCAAGAUCCGGCGCUCGGAGACGAGCCUGCGUCGCAUCAGCUAGUUGGUGGGGUAAUGGCCUACCAAGGCGAAGACGCGUAGCUGGUCUGAGAGGAUGAUCAGCCACACUGGGACUGAGACACGGCCCAGACUCCUACGGGAGGCAGCAGUGGGGAAUAUUGGACAAUGGGCGCGAGCCUGAUCCAGCCACGCCGCGUGAGUGAUGAAGGCCUUCGGGUCGUAAAGCUCUGUGGGGAGGGACGAACCGCUGCACGUGCAUAGCGUGCAGCAUGACGGUACCUCCUUAGCAAGCACCGGCUAACUUCGUGCCAGCCGCCGCCGUAA